AUGGCAGAAUGCUUCAAUAAGGUGCUCAAGGGUGUACGUGCUUUACCCGUGACGGCAAUAGUUCAAUACACAUUUGACAAGAUGAAUGGAUACUUUUUGAAGUAUUCAAUGGAGACGAAUAAGAAGAUUGCUGAUGAGAACAAGGAUAAGAACAAGUACUAUUUCCCACCAAAGGUUGAAGAAUGAUUGGACUUUCAAUCACGAAAGACAGACUCCCAAGAAGCUGUACUAUAUGACGACAACGAGUGGAAGUAUGAGGUGAAAGAGCCUGGAGGAACCACAAACGAUGGCCACCAACACGGAGGCCGCGCUUUCAAGGUCUCCCUAACACGGUGUGAUUGCAGCUGCAUGAGGCCAUCGUUGCUUCAUAUCCCAUGCUCGCACUUGUUAAAUGCAGCCCGUGUUAGGAAUGUGGACGUCAAUCACCCUCUUACCGUGAGGGAGUCCGAGUUCUCAAUCAUGACGGUAAAGAAUACAUGGGCUCCCCGGUUUCAGCCAUACUUGGACCAAUCACAAUGGCUGGAGUAUCAUGGAGUUCAACUAUGGCCGGACCCG
rnacentral:rRNA from 1 species